rnacentral:rRNA from 1 species
AGUGAACGCUGGCGGUAGGCCUAACACAUGCAAGUCGAACGGCAGCACAGUAAGAGCUUGCUCUUACGGGUGGCGAGUGGCGGACGGGUGAGGAAUACAUCGGAAUCUACUUUUUCGUGGGGGAUAACGUAGGGAAACUUACGCUAAUACCGCAUACGACCUACGGGUGAAAGCAGGGGAUCUUCGGACCUUGCGCGAUUGAAUGAGCCGAUGUCGGAUUAGCUAGUUGGCGGGGUAAAGGCCCACCAAGGCGACGAUCCGUAGCUGGUCUGAGAGGAUGAUCGGCACAACGGAAACUGAGAAACGGUCCAAACUCCUACGGGAGGCAGCAGUGGGAAAUAUUGGACAAUGGGCGCAAGCCUGAUCCAGCCAUACCGCGGGGGUGAAGAAGGCCUUCGGGUUGUAAAGCCCUUUUGUUGGGAAAGAAAAGCAGAGGUUAAUACCCCGCUGUUCUGACGGUACCCAAAGAAUAAGCACCGGCUAACUUCGUG